UACGUAGGGGGCAAGCGUUGUCCGGAAUCAUUGGGCGUAAAGCGCGUGUAGGCGGCUUGGUAAGUCCGCUCUGAAAGCCCGGGGCUCAACCCCGGGAGGCGGGUGGAUACUGCCAAGCUCGAGUCCGGAAGAGGCGAGUGGAAUUCCUGGUGUAGCGGUGAAAUGCGCAGAUAUCAGGAGGAACACCAAUGGCGAAGGCAGCUCGCUGGGACGUGACUGACGCUGAGACGCGAAAGCGUGGGGAGCAAACAGG
rnacentral:rRNA from 1 species